UACGUAGGGAGCAAGCGUUGUCCGGAUUUACUGGGUGUAAAGGGUGCGUAGGCGGCUUUGCAAGUCAGAAGUGAAAUCCAUGGGCUUAACCCAUGAACUGCUUUUGAAACUGCAGAGCUUGAGUGGGGUAGAGGUAGGCGGAAUUCCCGGUGUAGCGGUGAAAUGCGUAGAGAUCAUACAGAACACCGAUUGCGAAGGCAGCUUACCAAGCUACUUCUGACGUUGAGGCACGAAAGCGUGGGGAGCAAACAGG
rnacentral:rRNA from 1 species